GUGCUUGCUUUGGCAACACAAACACUAAAAUUGGAACAGUGCAGAGAUUAGCACAUGGCUCCUGUACAAAGAUGUCACACAAGUUCAUGAAGCAUAAAAAAGAAAG
ensembl:snRNA U6 U6 spliceosomal RNA